rnacentral:misc_RNA from 1 species
UGGCUCUCGCAUCGAUGAAGAACGCAGCGAAUUGCGAUAAGUAAUGUGAAUUGCAGAAUUCAGUGAAUCAUCGAAUCUUUGAACGCACCUUGCACUCUCUGGUAUUCCGGAGAGUAUGCCUGUUCGAGUGUCGUGAAGUACUCAACUUGCAGCUUUGCGGUUGCAAGCUUGGAUUUGGGACCUGUUGGCGCAAGUCGACUGUUCUGAAAUGCAUUAGCCAUCGCACGUUAAUCGCGGCUUAAGUGUAAUAAAUCUUUGUUCACUGGAGUUCCGUAGAGACAAGCGGAGGCUUAUAAAGACCCCAUUUUUCACCUUUGACCUCGAAUCAGGUAGGACUACCCGCUGA